CCUACUUAAUAAUCUCGAAUAAUAAUAUUUACUUACAUUUUGCUACGCCGAUUCGCUUUUUCGUCUCUGAGAUGACACAUCAGCUCGCUAGGGUGAGAAUUCGCUCAGUAUUACGCUUCGGCGUGUGCAGCAGGGUGCGUUCCACUCUAUUUUCGUUACAUGUGACGUGUGUAGUGCACGAUCGAGAAACGAUCAGUCAAUGUCGGUCGGUCGUAGAACUUCAGAACGUUUCCUGACGAACGUUUCUUAGAUGCGUCGUAGACAAUCACCCCGAAACGGCAUUAGUAGUUUAUGAUACGGAUCUUAACAUAAUGUAGCAAAAAGGAUAUUGUAAAAUUAUGCAAAGUGGAAUUAUCAAUUUUUUUUAACAAACAGUGGAUCCUAUAUUUAUAAUGUGUUUGCUGAUGGAGAUGUAACAAAAGGGGAAAGAGGAAGAUACAUUGCUGUUAGUUCUACUUUUGAUCCUCUUAACCAUACAGUAUACAUUGGUAUAAUUCCUGUAAGAACUACUUCAGUAUACAGUCGUAGAAAUCGAAUACUUAAAAUAUGUUUUGGACCUUCUAUAUUAUUAACAACUUCUAAAUCUGGGUCAACAUCAACAGAUACUUCUCUUUUGUAGAACAUUAUUUUAAUGCUGUAAUUCUGGUGAUCGUCUUCUGCCCUAAAUCUCGUUCCAUCAUACAAACAUGCUUCCGCUUAUGUUUUGCAUAGGAUUCAACCCUGUCAUCCUAAUAUUGUAAAUAAUAUAACGCUUAAUAAAACAUUAAAAUGUAAGCUUUUGAGAUCAUCAAACAGUGUUUAAUUUGUAUGUUAAUGUUAUAAGUACCAUAUA